AUGUACAAGUUUUUGUGUGGACAUGGUAAAGAAUCUGCCUGCAGGGGUUUGGAUCCCGAGUCUGCGGUGCGGUCCCGAGCGGUGGCGGUCGGCGUCCAAGUGGUUUAUUGUGGCGCUUGAGGCUACAAGCCCAAGUAUCUUCAGCUCAAGAAGUUAGAAGAUGAGUUCCCUAGCCGUCUGGACAUCUGCGGCGAGGGGACUCCCCAGGUCACUGGCUUCUUUGAAGUGUUCAUAGCAGGAAAGCUGGUUCACUCCAAGAAGGGAGGCGAUGGCUAUGUGGACACAGAGAGCAAGUUUCUGAAGCUGGUGGCCGCCAUCAAAGCUGCUUUGGCUCAGGCCUGAUGUGCCCUGAAGGCAAAGACCAGUAACUGUGGCCCAGCCCCUCCCAACUUUUAGGCUCCAUUAA